AUACGGAGGGUGCAAGCGUUACUCGGAAUCACUGGGCGUAAAGCGCGCGCAGGCGGUCUUUUAAGUUGGAUGUGAAAGCCUACGGCUCAACCGUAGAACUGCAUCCAAAACUAUUAGACUAGAGUGUGGGAGAGGAAGAUGGAAUUAGUUGUGUAGGGGUAAAAUCCGUAGAGAAAACUAGGAAUACCAAAAGCGAAGGCAAUCUUCUGGAACACUACUGACGCUGAGGCGCGAAAGCGUGGGGAGCAAACAGGAUUAGAAACCCUAGUAGUCC
rnacentral:rRNA from 1 species